UACAGAGGUCCCAAGCGUUGUUCGGAUUCACUGGGCGUAAAGGGUGCGUAGGUGGCGGGGUAAGUUUGAUGUGAAAUCUCCGGGCUUAACCCGGAAACUGCAUUGAAUACUAUUCUGCCCGAGGUUUGGAGGGGGGACUGGAAUUCUCGGUGUAGCAGUGAAAUGCGUAGAUAUCGAGAGGAACACCAGUGGCGAAGGCGAGUCCCUGGACAACACCUGACACUGAGGCACGAAAGCUAGGGGAGCAAACAGG
rnacentral:rRNA from 1 species